rnacentral:rRNA from 1 species
AUUGAACGCUGGCGGCAUGCCUUACACAUGCAAGUCGAACGGCAGCAUGAUCUAGCUUGCUCGAUUGAUGGCGAGUGGCGAACGGGUGAGUAAUACAUCGGAACGUGCCCUGUAGUGGGGGAUAACUAGUCGAAAGAUUAGCUAAUACCGCAUACGACCUGAGGGUGAAAGUGGGGGACCGCAAGGCCGCAUGCUAUAGGAGCGGCCGAUGUCUGAUUAGCUAGUUGGUGAGGUAAAGGCUCACCAAGGCGACGAUCAGUAGCUGGUCUGAGAGGACGAUCAGCCACACUGGGACUGAGACACGGACCAGACUCCUACGGGAGGCAGCAGUGGGGAAUUUUGGACAAAGGGCGAAAGCCUGAUCCAGCAAUGCCGCGUGUGUGAAGAAGGCCUUCGGGUUGUAAAGCACUUUUGUCCGGAAAGAAAUGGCUCUGGUUAAUACCUGGGGUCGAUGACGGUACCGGAAGAAUAAGGACCGGCUAACUACGUG